UCCGCCUAUAAAAAAGGGGACCCCAGAUACGUUACUCUCCAAGCCCUAAUUUUCUAUCCCAAAACUCUGCUAAAAUUUCCGUUCAAGCACUCCAUUCUUGUUGAGGCAGAGAACUGACUUGAGCAUCGGAGGGUCUUGCCGGAGCAACCCCAACUCCGAUUUAGACUUCUUUGCAGGUCCCGACGGCGACCGCAACUCCCUCGACUCCAGCUUCUCCGAC
rnacentral:lncRNA from 1 species